UGCAAGUCGAGCGGUAAGGCCCUUCGGGGUACACGAGCGGCGAACGGGUGAGUAACACGUGAGCAACCUGCCCCUGACUCUGGGAUAAGCGGUGGAAACGCCGUCUAAUACCGGAUACGACCUUCCGCCUCAUGGUGGAGGGUGGAAAGUUUUUUCGGUCAGGGAUGGGCUCGCGGCCUAUCAGCUUGUUGGUGGGGUAACGGCCUACCAAGGCGAUUACGGGUAGCCGGCCUGAGAGGGCGACCGGCCACACUGGGACUGAGACACGGCCCAGACUCCUGCGGGAGGCAGCAGUGGGGAAUAUUGCGCAAUGGGCGAAAGCCUGACGCAGCGACGCCGCGUGGGGGAUGACGGCCUUCGGGUUGUAAACCUCUUUUACCACCAACGCAGGCUCCGGGUUCUCUCGGGGUUGACGGUAGGUGGGGAAUAAGGACCGGCUAACUACGUGCCAGCAGCCGCGGUAAUACGUAGGGUCCGAGCGUUGUCCGGAAUUAUUGGGCGUAAAGAGCUCGUAGGCGGCGUGUCGCGUCUGCUGUGAAAGACCGGGGCUUAACUCCGGUUCUGCAGUGGAUACGGGCAUGCUAGAGGUAGGUAGGGGAGACUGGAAUUCCUGGUGUAGCGGUGAAAUGCGCAGAUAUCAGGAGGAACACCGGUGGCGAAGGCGGGUCUCUGGGCCUUACCUGACGCUGAGGAGCGAAAGCAUGGGGAGCGAACAGGAUUAGAUACCCUGGUAGUCCAUGCCGUAAACGUUGGGCGCUAGGUGUGGGGACUUUCCACGGUUUCCGCGCCGUAGCUAACGCAUUAAGCGCCCCGCCUGGGGGAGUACGGCCGCAAGGCUAAAACUCAAAGGAAUUGACGGGGGCCCGCACAAGCGGCGGAGCAUGUUGCUUAAUUCGACGCAACGCGAAGAACCUUACCAAGGUUUGACAUCACCCGUGGACCUGUAGAGAUACAGGGUCAUUUAA
rnacentral:rRNA from 1 species